CAGCAGUGAGGAAUAUUGGUCAAUAGCCUAACGGCUGAACCAGCAACUUGGAGGAAUGUUUUAGGUAAAACUAAAUGUAUAUUUUAAAAUACAUAUGCGAUAUAUUCGUAUAAAAUUCUAGGUAGAAUAAUGAUAAUGACAUUGUCUAUCUAUAAGUCUUGACCAACAUGCGUGCCAGCAGUCGCGGCAAGACGCUAAAGACUAGUGUUAUUCAUCUUUAAUAGGUUUAAAGCGUAACUAGACGGUAAAUCAAGCCUUAACCGGGACUAAUUUAACUAGAGUUAGAUGUAAGGGUGCAUUAACGUACUGUUGAGUGUAGAGAUGAAAUUCUUUGAUACCAGAUGAUUGGCACGGGUUAAGGCGAAAGCAUCACCUUAUGUAAUAACUGACGUUGAGGGACGAAGGCUUUGUGACGCGAACAGGAUUCGAUACCCUAGUAGUCUAAGCAGAAAAUGAUGAGUGUCAUAGGCUAGAUAGCCUUUAGUCUAUAAAUGAAAGUGUAAGCAUUCCACCUCAAGAGUAAUUUGGCAACAUUGGAACUGAAAUCAUUAGACCGUUUCUGAAACCAGUAGUGGAGUAUGUUGUUUAAUUAGAUUAUACACAAAGAACCUUACCACAAUUUGAAUAUUUUACAAGCGUUGCACGGCUGUUUUUAGUUAAUGUCGUGAGAUUUUGGUUAGUUCCAUUAAAUUAACGUGAUNC
rnacentral:rRNA from 1 species